ACUCCUACGGGAGGCAGCAGUGGGGAAUCUUACGACAAUGGGGGAAACCCUGAUCUAGCCAUGCCGCGUGGACGGAUGAAGGCCUUAGGGUUGUAAAGUCCUUUCAGCUGGGAAGAUAAUGACGGUACCAGCAGAAGAAGCCCCGGCUAACCUCCGUGCCAGCAGCCGCGGUAAUACGGAGGGGCUAGCGUUGUUCGGAAUUACUGGGCGUAAAGCGC
rnacentral:rRNA from 1 species